UAGGGAAUCUUCCACAAUGGACGCAAGCCUGAUGGAGCAACACCGCGUGAGUGAAGAAGGGUUUCGGCUCGUAAAGCUCUGUUGUUAAAGAAGAACACGUAUGAGAGUAACUGUUCAUACGUUGACGGUAUUUAACCAGAAAGUCACGGCUAACUACGUGCCCAA
rnacentral:rRNA from 1 species